rnacentral:rRNA from 1 species
UUAUGGCUCAGAUUGAACGCUGGCGGCAGGCCUAACACAUGCAAGUCGAACGGUAACAGGAAGCAGCUUGCUGCUUGCUGACGAGUGGCGGACGGGUGAGUAAUGUCUGGGAAACUGCCCGAUGGAGGGGGAUAACUACUGGAAACGGUAGCUAAUACCGCAUAAUGUCGCAAGACCAAAGAGGGGGACCUUCGGGCCUCUUGCCAUCGGAUGUGCCCAGAUGGGAUUAGCUUGUUGGUGAGGUAACGGCUCACCAAGGCGACGAUCCCUAGCUGGUCUGAGAGGAUGACCAGCCACACUGGAACUGAGACACGGUCCAGACUCCUACGGGAGGCAGCAGUGGGGAAUAUUGCACAAUGGGCGCAAGCCUGAUGCAGCCAAUGCCGCGUGUAUGAAGAAGGCCUUCGGGUUGUAAAGUACUUUCAGCGGGGAGGAAGGGGUUAAGGUUAAUAACCUUAGCCAUUGACGUUACCCGCAGAAGAAGCACCGGCUAACUCCGUGCCAGCCGCGGC